CCACUUUGGUCUAUUCAACUGUUUUAGAAUUCAGUUGACAAGCCGAAAUAUAUAUUUUUUCAAUUUCUAUCGCCAGACUAUCCACAUAUAGCUCACUUAAGUUGUCGUUGAGUUACCGCAGCUGUAUCCUGUACAUCAAAAAUCGUCUGCUCCUUAUUCGUAUUUCCAUGAACCGUCUGCCUUUUGUCAAAAUCCACCCACGCUGUUUCAGUUACUUUAGAGCACCCUUUGACAAGUCUAACUGCAAGUUUUGAUAAAGAUAUAAAGGUGAAGCUGUGAUGUCACCAUGGAUGUAUCAAAGAUGAAAGUUGAACCCUUUUCUGAAAAUGAACAGGAUGAUUUGGUGGAUAUCAAAUUGAUGAAAAAUGAAGAUGAAACUCCUACAUUUUCUAGUAUAGAAGCUGAUUCCUUACAACAAAGAUCUUUACAUACCAUUUUGAAGUUUGGUGUAGUGAAAGAGGAACAAGAAGAGAACUGUGAUGAAGGAACAGAAAAA